GGAAAGUGCUACUUCUGGAACAAAAAGGAGGGGUGGACCAGGUGGUCUUAACAAAGUCUGUGGUGUUUCACCUGAACUUCAGGCUAUUGUUGGUCAACCCGCAAUGCCUAGGACAGAGAUUGUGAAGCAGCUGUGGGUGUACAUCAGGAAACACAACUUACAGGAUCCUGGUAACAAGCGGAAGAUUAUCUGCAACGAUGCUCUGCGAGCACUCUUUGAAACAGA
rnacentral:misc_RNA from 1 species